AAACCAACCGGGAUUGCCUCAGUAACGGCGAGUGAAGCGGCAAGAGCUCAAAUUUGGAACCGCGAAAUUUUUUGCGGGUUGUAAUUUGAAGGGUGGUGCUGGGACGGGACGCUGCCUAUGUUCCUUGGAACAGGACGUCACAGAGGGUGAGAAUCCCGUGUGGCGGCGGACCCCGACCGUGCGGUGCCAGCCGACGAGUCGAGUUGUUUGGGAAUGCAGCUCUAAGUGGGUGGUAAAUUCCAUCUAAAGCUAAAUAUUGGCGAGAGACCGAUAGCGAACAAGUACAGUGAUGGAAAGAUGAAAAGAACUCUGAAGAGAGAGUGAAACAGUACGUGAAAUUGUUGAAAGGGAAGGGCAUGGGGAUAGACUGAGCAAUCGGGAAGGAAGCGCUGUUGGAGCGGGACAAUUGCGCGGGAACGUGGCUUUCGAGUGUUAUAGCCUGCGCAGAUGCCGGACUGGCGGCGGUUGCUUCCAUAAUGUCCCUAUGCCGC
rnacentral:rRNA from 1 species